rnacentral:piRNA from 1 species
AGGAAUAACCCUGAGCAAAGCUG